CAGGGCUUCCCUCAAGUCAUCAGUUGAGUCAAGCAUGCCACCUGCCUUUGUAGGAGUUGAUGGAACUCCUUUCCAGAUCUUUCAAGAUAAGAUGCUCAUAGAUUUCAGCCUUAUUUGCCAAAGCCUAAAGAAAUGAGUGCCCUGGAGUCAUGCACAGAUCAGUACAGUAUAUCUUACUGGUAUCCCCAUGGCUUGGAUUUGUCAGACCUGUGGAGCCUUUCAAAGGAGCACAUUUCUGCCAAUGAAGCCACAGGAAGGAGAAACAGCACCGUGAAUAGUUUCAACUAGGAUGUUUUAAGUUGGAAGGUCUAUUAAAAUGUGGGAGAUUAUCAAGUGCAGCCCAAUGUGACACACCUGGACCUUAAAGAUCUGCUCAUGAAAACAACAAUUUUCUGGGGAAAAUGAGUGGCCAGGAGUCGUGUUCAGAUCAAUACAGUAAGAUUACUGGUAUCCCCAUGGCGUGGUCUGACCCCAAGGCGUGGAUUUGUCAGACCUGUGGAGCCUUUCAAAGGAGCACAUAACUGCCAAUGAAGCCACAGUAAGUGACAAGGUUACUUUAAUUAGUCAUAAUCCUGGGAAAGGUUAUUUAGAAACAAAAUACUCAAGC